UUGGUAAAAAGGUGAAAACCUUUUUUACCCCCAAACUCUGUGCAAUGGAGCACACGGCUUAUGCAUCGAUGAAGCCCGCGGCAAAAAGCGAUAUGUAAUGAGAUUCGUUAGCCUCGCGAUUCAUCAAAUUGGUGAACACAUACUGGACCUCUUCGGAGGUACUUGCGUUAGAGUGCUAGUUUUCUAUCAAUUGAUCCUGGUAAAAGGUGUUUGAAUCAUUAGGUUCUUACGCCCUAGCCGGUGUAGCCGGAUUCUCUCUGAGAAUUCGGAUUGUUCCUAGAAACAUGAUUGAGUGUUGUAGGUUUCUGCUUGUUGUCUCUACAUUUUUUAACAGCAAGGGAGAUGUAUAACAUAUCUGUCUGUCCUGGGUCAAUCCUUUUUAUUAAACUGGCCUCUAAUGUGAGAGGGUACCCCCUGGAUUUAAGCAUAU
rnacentral:misc_RNA from 1 species